rnacentral:rRNA from 1 species
CAAGUCGAGCGAACAGAUAAGGAGCUUGCUCCUUUGACGUUAGCGGCGGACGGGUGAGUAACACGUGGAUAACCUACCUAUAAGACUGGGAUAACUUCGGGAAACCGGAGCUAAUACCGGAUAACAUAUUGAACCGCAUGGUUCAAUAGUGAAAGGCGGCUUUGCUGUCACUUAUAGAUGGAUCCGCGCCGUAUUAGCUAGUUGGUAAGGUAACGGCUUACCAAGGCAACGAUACGUAGCCGACCUGAGAGGGUGAUCGGCCACACUGGAACUGAGACACGGUCCAGACUCCUACGGGAGGCAGCAGUAGGGAAUCUUCCGCAAUGGGCGAAAGCCUGACGGAGCAACGCCGCGUGAGUGAUGAAGGUCUUCGGAUCGUAAAACUCUGUUAUCAGGGAAGAACAAAUGUGUAAGUAACUGUGCACAUCUUGACGGUACCUGAUCAGAAAGCCACGGCUAACUACGUGCCAGCAGCCGCGGUAAUACGUAGGUGGCAAGCGUUAUCCGGAAUUAUUGGGCGUAAAGCGCGCGUAGGCGGUUUUUUAAGUCUGAUGUGAAAGCCCACGGCUCAACCGUGGAGGGUCAUUGGAAACUGGAAAACUUGAGUGCAGAAGAGGAAAGUGGAAUUCCAUGUGUAGCGGUGAAAUGCGCAGAGAUAUGGAGGAACACCAGUGGCGAAGGCGACUUUCUGGUCUGUAACUGACGCUGAUGUGCGAAAGCGUGGGGAUCAAACAGGAUUAGAUACCCUGGUAGUCCACGCCGUAAACGAUGAGUGCUAAGUGUUAGGGGGUUUCCGCCUCUUAGUGCUGCAGCUAACGCAUUAAGCACUCCGCCUGGGGAGUACGACCGCAAGGUUGAAACUCAAAGGAAUUGACGGGGACCCGCACAAGCGGUGGGAGCAUGUGGUUUAAUUCGAAGCAACGCGAAGAACCUUACCAAAUCUUGACAUCCUUUGAC